rnacentral:rRNA from 1 species
GAUGAACGCUAGCGGCAGGCCUAAUACAUGCAAGUCGAGGGGUAAAUAUGUAGCAAUAUAUAUGAGACCGGCGCACGGGUGCGUAACACGUAUGCAACCUACCUUUUACUGGGGAAUAGCUCAGAGAAAUCUGAAUUAAUACCCCAUAACACUGCAGAAUGGCAUCAUUUUGCAUUUAAAGCUCCGGCGGUAAAAGAUGGGCAUGCGGAACAUUAGCUAGUUGGUGAGGUAAUGGCUCACCAAGGCUACGAUGUUUAGGGGGUCUGAGAGGAUGAUCCCCCACACUGGUACUGAGACACGGACCAGACUCCUACGGGAGGCAGCAGUAGGGAAUAUUGGGCAAUGGACGAAAGUCUGACCCAGCCAUGCCGCGUGCAGGAUGAAUGUCCUAUGGAUUGUAAACUGCUUUUAUAUGGGAAGAAACCCCUGGAUGCGUCCGGGGCUGACGGUACCAUUUGAAUAAGGAUCGGCUAACUUCGUGCCAGCCGCCGCCGUAAAAC